CCUACGGGAGGCAGCAGUGGGGAAUAUUGGACAAUGGGCGAAAGCCUGAUCCAGCAAUGCCGCGUGAGUGAUGAAGGCCUUAGGGUUGUAAAGCUCUUUUACCCGGGAUGAUAAUGACAGUACCGGGAGAAUAAGCUCCGGCUAACUCCGUGCCAGCAGCCGCGGUAAUACGGAGGGAGCUAGCGUUGUUCGGAAUUACUGGGCGUAAAGCGUACGUAGGCGGUUAUUCAAGUCAGAGGUGAAAGCCUGGGGCUCAACUCCAGAACUGCCUUUGAAACUAGAUAGCUAGAAUCAUGGAGAGGUCAGUGGAAUUCCGAGUGUAGAGGUGAAAUUCGUAGAUAUUCGGAAGAACACCAGUGGCGAAGGCGACUGACUGGACAUGUAUUGACGCUGAGGUACGAAAGCGUGGGGAGCAAACAGGAUUAGAUACCCUGGUAGUCCACGCCGUAAACGAUGAUAACUAGCUGUUCGGACCUUUAAGGUUUGAGUGGCGCAGCUACGCAUUAAGUUAUCCGUCCGUCGGGUAGGUACGGUCGCGAAGAAGUUAAAACGUUAAAAGGUAAAGUUAGUAACGGUCGUGUUAGACGUGCCGAACGGACGACGACGAGGGAGGAGG
rnacentral:rRNA from 1 species